AACGAACGCUGGCGGCAGGCUUAACACAUGCAAGUCGAGCGCCCCGCAAGGGGAGCGGCAGACGGGUGAGUAACGCGUGGGAACGUACCCUUUGCUACGGAAUAGCUCCGGGAAACUGGAAUUAAUACCGUAUGUGCCCUACGGGGGAAAGAUUUAUCGGCAAAGGAUCGGCCCGCGUUGGAUUAGCUAGUUGGUGGGGUAAUGGCCUACCAAGGCGACGAUCCAUAGCUGGUCUGAGAGGAUGAUCAGCCACAUUGGGACUGAGACACGGCCCAAACUCCUACGGGAGGCAGCAGUGGGGAAUAUUGGACAAUGGGCGCAAGCCUGAUCCAGCCAUGCCGCGUGAGUGAUGAAGGCCUUAGGGUUGUAAAGCUCUUUCACCGGAGAAGAUAAUGACGGUAUCCGGGGAAGAAGCCCCGGCUAACUUCGUGCCAGCAGCCGCUGUAACAC
rnacentral:rRNA from 1 species